rnacentral:lncRNA from 1 species
AAUAAGAGAGGUGCUGGGAUAUGUGACCAAACUUUUCCUGUUGGAAUUUCUAGCACCUUCAAAUUUUCCAAGUACCAUUCGCACUGCUUCCAGUUUCCUCCUCGGUGGUUGGAGAGUACUAGUAGUGCAUGGUUGAUGCUCUAGGCCACAUCAUGCUUUGUUUUAGUUUAUUUGAAGUUUGUUGUGAUUUUGAACCCUGCAAUGUUUAAGCAAGUGAAUUUCGUAAGCCGAAUUGUUUUCUGUUUAAUGCAUCAGUAGAGUUGAAACAUUACUGGUUUUCCAGCAAGUCCCAAAUUUAUUAAAUAACACAACAUGGAAAUGGAACAUGACCGGACUUAGAAAGAACAUUAAAAUUGGAAACCUUUCAAUUACCAACUUGCACGCGUGUUGGAGUUUUUUUAUAUGCUUUUAAGAUCAAAUUGGGAGGUUAACAGUUUUCCCUGACCUGCAAGAUAUUCA